CGGUAGUCCUGGCUCAGAUGAACGCUGCGGCAGGCCUAACACAUGCAAGUCGGACGGUAGCACAGAGGAGCUUGCUCCUUGGGUGACGAGUGGCGGACGGUGAGUAUGUCUGGGAUCUGCCGAUAGGGGGGAUAACCACUGGAAACGGUGGCUAAUACCGCAUAACGUCGCAAGACCAAAGAGGGGGACCUUCGGGCCUCUCACUAUCGGAUGAACCCAGAUGGGAUUAGCUAGUAGGCGGGGUAAUGGCCCACCUAGGCGACGAUCCCUAGCUGGUCUGAGAGGAUGACCAGCCACACUGGAACUGAGACACGGUCCAGACUCCUACGGGAGGCAGCAGUGGGGAAUAUUGCACAAUGGGUGCAAGCCUGAUGCAGCCAUGCCGCGUGUAUGAAGAAGGCCUUCGGGUUGUAAAGUACUUUCAGCGGGGAGGAAGGCGAUGGGGUUAAUAACCCUGUCGAUUGACGUUACCCGCAGAAGAAGCACCGGCUAACUCCGUG
rnacentral:rRNA from 1 species